ACCGCUGCCAGUGACGCCUGAGCCGCCCUCCCACGCACGGACGACCGAGCCAAUUAGGCUGAGCUGGAGGAGAGCAGAGCGGAGGGACUGGGUUUACCCAGCAAACCUGAAGGGCCUCGAGCCAAAUUGAGAUAUUGGCCCAUCACCAGUGGCUUGGAUUUAGGUGUGAGAAGGGUGACCAUUCACCUAUGAGAAAUGGGAAAGAAGUGUGAUCCUAAAUAGGGGCCAUAUGUUAUUUCAGAAACACAGAUUUCAGAGGAUUUGGUUCCAGAGUCUUCUAAUUCUCCUCUAAAAUGAGCUCACUAAGUCCCCCUCCUCAAGAGAACUCUAUCAACCUUCCCAUCCAAUCAGCGUUGUAAGUGCACAAUGGCAAAACAUUCAAGUUCAAAGAACAAUACACAUUUCUUCUUGCCUAUUUAAUAUUGGAUAAUAAAAGUUGUCCACCAUUUUACAUCUUAAAACAUAAGGCUCUGAGUUUAGGAAUAUUGUCAUAGGAAUCAGGCCCUAUUCCCUAUAUAAUGGUUUGAUAUAAUCCACAACCACUAUUUAUUCCUUCACAAAGUUGAUUCGCAAAUAUUUAUCAUUGGAAGAAAUCUCAGCGGUCAGCUAGUUUCAUCCAUUUGUUUUGGAGCUAAAGAAAUUCUAACCUAUAACAUCUGGCUUGUCCUCCUAUCCAGAAUCCUUACAGACAAAGAAGUUUCCCAUCCUAGGAAAGCCUAACUGAGAGGCAAGUCUAUAGUCAGAGAAAUUUUCCCACUGAACCAGUGUCUUAAAUUACAGUCACUAUUCCUUCAUAUAAACAGAAUGUAAGACAUUUGGGCUAACUUCUUUCGGAAUGUCUUAACUCAUGAGAUAAGAAAGCAGGAUCAUGGAUUCAUUCCACAAAGGAAAACACUCCUCCAACAGAACAAAAUUACCCAGAACUCUUUCUACUUCAAGAAUUGAAAAGCUAGUGUUAAAGAGCAUUGAAAAAGUUAUUUUCUCUAAAAAGAGAUUCUCUGCCACGUCACCUGGUAAAAUUGGAAUGCCUUUUGAGUAAUCGCUGCUUGGGGUUAUUUCCCCAAUUUCCUUCCAUGUAUAGAAAAUUUAGAACUGAUGGUAUUUUUAAUGUGAACCCUCAUCUGCUGUUUUCACAGACUAUUUUUGACUUUGCAGAGCGUAUUCUGCUAACCCAGGCCCACACAGCUAGCAAAGAUCCUAGAACUCUGGCCUCUAAUUCUCUUCACCCUUUAGAAAGCUUUGAAAGAUAUUGAUUGUGCAAAUGUAAAAAAAAAUUAACUUACCAAAAAAUAGCACAUAUAAAAUGUGACUGGCGAAAGAACCCCUGAGAAUAUUGUUUUAACUGGAAGUUGUACCAUUAACUGCUACAAUGUACUGUAUUCCUGUUAUGGCUCUUUGCGAUAUAUUUAUCACUGUGUGGGAACAGUUUAAUCUCCUCCAUACAGAGAGCAGUAGGAGCUCUCAGUGGCCUCAAAAUAUGAUGGCCCUUGCCAGAAACAACUGAUCUAAAUUUCUUGCAGGUGGCAGGUCUAACUUUUUUUUUUUUUUUUUUUUUUUAAAGGAAAUAACCCUUCUCUAAAAGUCAAAUUUGUUUUUAAAGCUGCGGUGUCUUUAACCACUUCUUUUUCCAGUUUUUCAGUUGAUACCUUGUCAUGACUGACGGUGGGUUGCAUCAAUCAUUCUGGGUUCUUACAGAAAAUGUUUUGUGGCGGUGACUAUCACAUGCAAGAAACUAAGUGCCCUUUGUGGGUGACUGCGUAGGUACCUCUGAUUUCUGGCCAAAUCAUUCAGAAUGCCACAAAUCCAUUAAAUCUCUCCACAGGGAGGAAAAAAUUCCUGCAUCCUAGAGCGAGAAUUUAUGAGUUCAUUUCAAUCACUACAAAUGAAAGCCACCCUUAAUAUUCAUUAGAGAUUUUUACGGUGGCAAUAUGCAUUAUCUAUUCGUGUGCCCCUCUGAAAGGCCACUUUCCCUUGAAACCUUGCAUGGCUCCAAGCCACUCUUUGUAGAAACAAUGGCCUAUGUCCAAGUGGAGUCAGAGGAAGCAAAUGGAUGACAUUUCCUUAUCCAUUGGUAAUGACUCCAUUAAGCCACGAUGGUGGCUGCGAGCUUCUAAGCUUUAAAAAUUAAAGGACACAUUUGGAAUGGGCAGUCGUGUCAUUGUAUCACUUCUCUGCUGUCAUCUGUGACCAAAAGUCCUGAAGUGAAAGGGACUUUUUGGUUUGCACCACAGAAAAAUGACUUCCCAAGCUGACAUUUCUUUGUGUGGAGAAAUGUGUAUACUGGGGACAUAAGUGAGAGCUUGAGAACUCUUCAUCUUUCCUUCUCUUUACCACCACAGUUCAAGUCACCAUCCUCUUGCAUCGCUUUUUCCCUUCCGGUCUAUUCUCAUCACUAUAUGGAAAGCAAUCUUCUCAAAGUAGAAACUUAAGUAUGUAUGUAUCAACAAAUAAGAAAUAAACAAAUAAAACCCCUAGCCAUUAGCUUAAAACAGUUCUUGCAUAGCUUCCCAUUGCUUAUAGAAGAUGAACAACAAAGCUUAGCAUAGCCUAUGAGGCCAGAAGUUGUCUGAUCCUUCCUCAGACCUACCUUCUACCACAUCUCCUUGCUCUCUCUCCCAGCCACGCUGAACACUCUCUCCUUCACCCUCGUUUUGGCUAGUCAAUGCCUGUUUUUUACAUCAGCUUUGAGCUCAAUCAUCCUCACUCCUGAAAGUGUUUCCUGACUCUUUGACUAGAUCAAAUACACCAAUUAUAGGCCUCCACAGAGCUGUGUAGUUCACAUCAAGGUGACCACUUCAUUAUUAUUUGUGUGGUUAUUUUUAUUUUUGUUUCCAAUUGGGCUAUAAAACUCACAGUGUUUCUGCUGUUGAACAUCUUCCUUAUCUGGCACAAUGUAAAUACUUCAAAACAAAUUGUUGAGUGAAUACAUAAAUGAGUUCCUGAAUGUAAUCCAUUUUGUGCUAAAAAUCGCUUUCAGUGGGUGAGAUGUGGGCUUCAGUUUGGGUUGGGCUUGAGGUGAACUGCAAAAAGGCCAUAUUUCUAAUCUAAUUAUUCAUCAGUAUGGUUGUAUUUAAUAGUUGGGAACCACGAGCUGCAUAAAGAUCUUACACUGAAUAUUCAUAAGGGUUUUAAGAGUGAAUUCAACCAGUUGCUUUACAACUUCCCAGGAAGGAGAGGAGACAUGAAUUUCUUUCCUUCAUUUUUCAUUCUCUCAUGAAAAAGGUGUGGUAUGCCUGAGAGAAUCCAAAUAAAUAUCAUGAUGUGCAUGUGUGAUAUGGUUAUGACAAAAUAUAUGAAAGGAAUUUUAAAAAGCUGAAAUUGUUUAUACGUAAAACCCUGCUAAUAUGGUGACAAUUUGGGAAGUCAGAAAAGGGCAAUGAUGAGCCCAGUACAUGCACACUGAACCCCACCUUUUUUUUUGUCUGCAUGCCUCAGAGAUUCACAAGCAUACGGACACCAGGUCACCGCCAAGAAGCAGGGUCUCAUCCUAUCCACCCUGUGUGCAUUUGAACUAAGCAGUUCUGACUUUUUUAUCUACAAGGGAAAUUGGACAAAAAAUAUUAAAAAUCUUAAAAAUUACUGAAAAAAUAGUAAAUGUACAUUUACUGCAGCAUUAUCUCUUAUGAUACAAAAUUGCUGUCAAUUAUUGAUGGUGAGAUUCUAAUGCCAGAAUUGGUCACUUUUGUGGUCACACAUCCCAGAGCAAUACCUGAUAUAUCAUAGACAUAAUGCUGUUUUGAAUUGAAUUAAAGGUAAAUAAUUAUAAACAUACAAUUAUAAAUUGUAAGUAGAUAGUGAUAGUUGGCACUAGAGAUAGUAGCUCUUUUUCAUUAAGUUCUAACUGAGUGUCAGGUACAGUUAAACACGUUACAUCCAAUUCUUACAAGAGCUCCUCAAAUAAACCUCCAUUAUGUCUAUAAAGAUAAGAAACUGAAACUCAGAGAAAUCAAAUAACUUAGCAGUCACACGGAGAGUAGGCAGUGAGGCUACAGUUCAAGACGGGCUUAUCUGGUUCCAAUACUCGUAAUUUCCAUCAUGUAUAUGACUCCUCUUUGCCACCAUGUUUAUUUACCUUUCUGUUGAAAGACUAUUUGGUGAUGGAAAAAGUAUGGACUGAGAGUCAGAAGGUUUCUCAGUACCAUCUUGAUGUCAUCUGCUGUGGGACCUCUUCAUGUAUCUCAAUUUCUUCACCUGUAAGAUGGCAAUAAUGCUUUGCCUAGUUCAUAGCACUAAUAUAAAAUGAAAUGUGAGAACAGUUACACUGCAUCUCAAAGGCAGGGAUUCUAUUUAGUAAGUAAUUAAGCCCCUACCUUCAAUCGGCACUUUCACAUGCAUCAUUUCAUUUCAUACAGCAAGUUAGGAAAUAAUGUCCUCAUUUUCAUGGAUGAGAAAGUAGAGGUAAGUGAGUAGCCUAAAUUCAGAAGGUUCAAAGCCAUGCCCUUUUCAGGAAAACUUUGGAUUCUUACAGAUUUGGGCUUAAAAUCCAGUUCUGCAGCCUACUAUUACAUGAUAUAAAUUAAUCUAUUUUAUCAUUAAAAUGAGACUACUAAUGCCACCAAACAAUCACAACACAUAGACAACAAAUAUCAAAGUACUUGAAACACAGUCAAGUGCUAAGUCAAUAGAGACUAUGAUUGUCAUUAUAUAGACAUGUCUGCAUGAUCAGGAUAAGAAUUCAAAGGUGGUACUUAGUGUGUGUAUAUGAGAGAGGGAGAGAGCGAGAGAGGGAGAGAGAAAGAGAGAGAGAGAGAGUAAGAGAGAAAUGGGUGAUGGAGGCAGAAGAGGAUGUCUCACUCCAACCCAGCACUCCUUACACAGCAUAGCCCCUGUUCUUCUGCUUUCUUUUAUAAUCUUACUUAAACUUCACCCGCCCAUUUGUCAAAGCUGGAUUUUGUCCUCUGAAAUGGCAUUCAAAAAGGAUGUUUACAAGUAGUUCUUUUUGAGUGGCAGAAAUGUUAUUCAUUCCUGAGAGUGGAAUAUAUACAUUUUGGUUCAUGAAGAAGUUUUUAUGGCCAGGAGAACCUGACUGAAUCCCACCCAAGUCGAUAUGCAUGUGCAUUGCUGCUUGUUCAGAACACAAGGAAGUAGCCAGGACAGAGGAAGUACAGUUGGUCAGGAAAAAAUAAAUAAAUAAAGAAAAACCCCAAACCUAAAAUAGCUUAUGUUAGGGAAAAUGAUGAAAAUAAGGUCAACAAUAGUUAUCUGGGAAGUGAGAAAAGAGCUGCUGUGAAAAAGCUGAAAUAAAAUCUUUAUGUACUAAUCUCUUUCUGCACAUAGGAUUUAUUUUCCUUGGUGUGUUCUUAUAGCCCAAAAUGCUGAAAAUAAAAGGAGCUGUAAAAAUCAUUGAUAGCUUCCCCUCUUUUUAAAGAUGAGGAGACCAAAUACCAUGGAGACUAAGAAACCUGACUCAGAGAUCCUAGAGAGUGACAGAGUUCAGUUCACAAUCAGCUCUCCUGACUCCAACCUGUGUUCCUUUGGUGUAUAAUAUGGCUUCUGACCAUGCUUCAAACUCAAAAUAUGACUUUGUCUUUAGAUUAUUUAGCAAUAUUUGAAUUAUGAGCUUUUUCCUCUGCCACCAAAGAAAUUCUACCAACCCUUGGAGUGUUCUCCAAGUCUCCUUAUUUAAAAAUGUUCUGACAUUCAGGCCUCUCUCCUCCCAAAGGCCAAUGUCCAGCUUUGGUGAUUAUUUUGCUGAACCAUGCAAAAGAAUUAGGCUCUCAGAAAGAAGCCUGAGGUCAAUGCACAUAGUUGGAGCCCCUUCAGAUUGACAUUCAUUUCCCUCCUUUGUCAUUUGAGAAUCCAAAUAAACAAAUUUCAACUUUCCUGUAGAAGCCAAAAUGUAGUUAUAAUUGAUUAUCAUGGAUCCUAUAUCAUUAUCACAAGAGCUAUUCUAAAUUACAAAUAUUUUAUGAUGACUUUAGAAAAAUUAUUUAUUGUGGUGAUUACCAAUUCAACUUUCUUCUUAAACUGAUUCACUUGUAUAAACAAGCAAAGAGAAACAACAACAACAACAAAAAAAAAAAAAAAAAAAAAAAAA